AUGUCUUUGUACGUCGAAGUUCCGGACAGGGAUUAUAUGCUGCCGAGUCCAGACUUAGUUCUGGAGUUGGCCUUGGAGGUCGGUUCGUUCCUCCACUGGGGGGGGGGGGGUUCCUGGAAGGGGGUGGAUUCCGUGACCGUAAUUCGGAAUACAUGGAAUUCGUCCCUUUCUCCGGAGGAAUUUCCGGAGAUGUUUUUAUCCGCGUUGCCCUGCAAUAUUCUUUACAGAGAUAUGCGAACUAUUAAGUAUCCCAACGAUGUCUCGAUAAACAAUACGUUGCCCUACGACCGUAAUUUUUGGCCUCGCCUAUCGCCUUCUCAAACAGGGGCAAUUGUCGUGGCCCUUGCCUUCGCUCCCGGCGCCUAUCCCGAUGGCGUCAUCUCAGUUGAAUCAUUUUUUGAUCACCCGGCCAACUUCCCACUCACCCUUAUAGAUAAUAUUUUCAAUUCCUUUGAGAGGGGUGCUGGGCCGGCGGCCGGGACGAGAGGUGACGUCGUUGGGAUCGCGUCACGCCGGGCUGGGAAGGAUAGAUUUAAACACCCUGUUUUGCCCCUGUUUUUGGAGACGAUUCGCAGAGGCGUUACUGUUGCUAGCGGAAACGAUAUUGCAGCCCACCCGAUGUUUCGCGUCGAUGAUGCCCUGCGGGAAGUUUUGCUUAGCUCCUUCACGGACUCCUUCGUGAGGGAAAACGGGCUUUGUCCGGUAACCCUCUCGGAGGGUCAAAGGGACGCUUUGUCUAUCAAGACAGAUAAUUUUCUCACGGGGCUGAGGCGUUCACGUUCCAACGUCCUCGUGAGGGGGUACACGGUGUCUCACAUGCUCGCCAACGGGGUGUGGGCCCUUCGAGACAGAACCACAAGGCGUGUCAUCACCAGACCGCGCCAUUUGUUGCCACCCUCGCACCCUUCAUUUCGGAUUGCGUGGGUGACGUACUGCAGGCCUCAGCACUCCGCUGUUCCUAGCGCCAGGGGACGAUCUCCUCCAGACAAAGCCGGCAAGGGCCCGUUUAAUAGGAGUCACUUAACGACCGCCCCCGCCCGAGGACUUAAGCGACGCGCGAAAUCUCCCACCGUCGACUCGCCUGGCCCACAGCGCCAGGGAGCCGCCCGACGGCUACGGAGGAACGGCGGCGUCAACCACGAUCGGCGAGCAUCCCCGAUACCCCUCGGCGACGAGUCCUUGUCCGGGGCCUAA
rnacentral:lncRNA from 1 species